AUUGAACGCUGGCGGCAGGCCUAACACAUGCAAGUCGAGCGGAUGAAGGGAGCUUGCUCCUGGAUUCAGCGGCGGACGGGUGAGUAAUGCCUAGGAAUCUGCCUGGUAGUGGGGGAUAACGUCCGGAAACGGGCGCUAAUACCGCAUACGUCCUGAGGUGGAAAGUGGGGGAUCUUCGGACCUCACGCUAUCAGAUGAGCCUAGGUCGGAUUAGCUAGUUGGUGGGGUAAAGGCCUACCAAGGCGACGACCCGUAACUGGUCUGAGAGGAUGAUCAGUCACACUGGAACUGAGACACGGUCCAGACUCCUACGGGAGGCAGCAGUGGGGAAUAUUGGAAAAUGGGCGAAAGCCUGAUCCAGCCAUGCCGCGUGUGUGAAGAAGGUCUUCGGAUUGUAAAGCACUUUAAGUUGGGAGGAAGGGCAGUAAGUUAAUACCUUGCUGUUUUGACGUUACCAACAGAAUAAGCACCGGCUAACUUCGUG
rnacentral:rRNA from 1 species